rnacentral:rRNA from 1 species
GACGAAGGGGCUAGCGUUGUUCGGAAUUACUGGGCGUAAAGCGCGUGUAGGCGGUUGCCCAAGUCGGGUGUGAAAGCCUUGAGCUCAACUCAAGAAAUGCACUCGGUACUGGGUGACUAGAGGACCGGAGAGGAUAGUGGAAUUCCCAGUGUAGUGGUGAAAUACGUAGAGAUUGGGAAGAACACCAGUGGCGAAGGCGGCUAUCUGGACGGUUCUGACGCUAAGACGCGAAAGCGUGGGGAGCAAACAGG